UGCUGAAAAUGUGCUAAAAAUUAAAUUACCUCACCUCACCUUACAAACACCACUUGGCUGGACCUCCGUUCAGUCAGGUCAGUCACUUUACAAGGGUUGAAUCUUUAUACAGUUACCUAUUUUAGGUUAAAUAGUUUUAUUCAAAUGUGAUUAUUUUUUAGAAAUCAGUUUUCACUUUGAUAUUUAAGGAUGUUUUUGACACCGUUUUUAUUUAGUCAAAAAAAAGUGUUAAUUGUCUCUGAUUUGUAAAAUAAAUAAACUGGGUAAAACAUCCAAGGGGCUGAAUAUUUUUAUAGGCAGUCACUUUAUAACACAAGACAUAAAAUCAUGUGCUCACUCAUACACAAGAACAACUUAGAGAGAAUAUUUAGCCUGACAGUCAUGUUUUUGAAACAUGCACAGGGAGAACGUGCAAACUCCAUGCAGAACGACCCCAGACUGGGACUUGAACCCAGAACCCAGAACCUACUAGUUGCGAGACAACAGUGCUGCCACUUCUACUAUGAUUACUAGAAGUAGUAGUAGAGGUAGUACUAUUGUUUGUAGUAGCUGUAGUUUUCAACCCUUGAAUGCAAACUUUGGUGUUUUUGACAAAAAGAAAUGUGAUUGUAACUGAUAUUUUUGAACAUAUUUCAUGACAUUGUUCUCUUUCAACAUUUUGUAGUUUCACUCUUUAAGUUGCUCCUUUUAUAUUCAUUUUGUCUGCCACAGUUAUAUGCCUGUUUGUACUUUGUCUCAUCUGUUGAGUGGCUCAUAAUCCACAUGCUCCCAAGGUAAAACAACACAAAAAUACCCACAUGAACUCCUCUGCCUCCCACCUCCCGCCCCAGCGAUCUUCACACGUCGUCAAGCGGUGUCACAGUCCCACCGAAGCUGCUGGCUCUCUCGAGCCCAAGCUGAUGAUCUCCUGACCUUCAGACACCCAGUGCCGGAUGAAUUAUUGAGAGCUGAGCCGUCAGUCACGGGUGUCGGGCCAGCUCCACGUGGAAUAGAGAAGGACGGCUAUCUGUGCACAAAUCUCGCUCAGAUGACAAUCGACACAACACCACCUGCUGAUUGGACACUUUGUUCAAGAGGAAACGGAGAAUCUGUACGCUCGCAAUGAGCUAAUAUUCGACUGAGGCUGCUCUGAAAUGAAUACACCUUAUCAGACAUGCAGAUUUGGGAAAUACUUACGGUGCUUUGCAAACCCGUACUUCUUGGGCAUGUUUGUGUUUUAUAUUACAAUCACAACUUCUGUUGUAUUUUUUCUGUGGUUGACCAAAUAUGAAAUGGAAGUAAAACAGCUUUCAGUUGUUUUUCUUUUUAAAUAAAACCUUCAAAGCGUG